rnacentral:lncRNA from 1 species
UGCAAGUCCUUAAAUAAAUCAAAAAUUGCAACCACAAGCCCAAGUCGCUGGCGCUCAGCGCCCCUUCUUAGGGCAAGUAGGCGCCCAUGCGAGAGAAGUGGCGCUCAGGGCCCCUUAAAGGGUAAGCAAGUCUCGUGUGACUCCUUCUACUGGCGCGCAGCGCCCCUGUUGUGACACUCAGCCUGACGAGGUGACUGAUAAUGGUUGAAAAUACCGUUAUCUGUGAUGUAAUUUUGAUACUAAAUGCACCCUUUUCUGCUUAGAACUUGCUUGGAAUCAUGUUUUUCUAUUAAGUUGUGUGAAUAAGAGAGUUGAGGUUGAAUUCAACGACUUUAUAACUAAUUCCCCUUAUUUUGGCAGAGAAUGAGGUAAUACUGAAAGUAGAGAUGAAAAGCCCAGGAGAUGGAGCUCAGAAAGGCCUAGAAAAGCACCAGAAGGAUAGACAACACGCAGCUUGGGCGCCCUGUGUGGAGGCUCAGGUGCUGAAAUCCAACGUUCACCGCCCGGGCGCCUCCAUUGGGCACUUGAGAGUCAGGCCUCGAGGCUUGGGCACCCCUCUAGAAGGCUCAAGCCCUACAUGACAGUCGUGCACCACCCGGGCACCCUAAAUGAGGCGCCUGAGCGUCGUGCGUCGUGAAUCAAGCCCAGAUCUGCUCUGUUUUGACUCUAUUGGACCAG